rnacentral:rRNA from 1 species
UCCGUAGGUGGAUAAUUAAGUCAGAGGUGAAAUCCGGCAGCUCAACUGUAGAAUUGCCUUUGAUACUGGUUAUCUUGAGUCAUUAUGAAGUGGUUAGAAUGUGUAGUGUAGCGGUGAAAUGCAUAGAUAUUACACAGAAUACCGAUUGCGAAGGCAGAUCACUAAUAAUGUACUGACACUGAGGGACGAAAGCGUGGGGAGCGAACAGGAUUAGAUACCCUGGUAGUCC